CCUCCUUAACGAUAUUUUCGUACUAGAAUACCCACACGAGUAAUCAAAUAUAUUAAAAGAAGUUAUUUAUAAGUUUUGGUAUGUAAUUUUCUAGUGUAUAAAUCUUUUUAAGAUAUAUACACCAGUGUCAUAUCUUUUAUUAGAUAUGUACACGAUAGAUCACUGCGUUUAAUAGAAGAAAAUUUUAUUAAGUUAUUCUCAAACAAUAACGAAAAAAACUUAGUCUGCAAUAAAAAGGUCGACUAAGUAUAUAACCCUUUUUUAGGGUUAUAUGAUCAAGUAAUUAAGAGCACAAGGCGGAUGCCUUGGCAGCUGAAGGCGAUGAAGGACGUAGUAACUUGCGAUAAGCUUCGGGGAGGUGGUAAACAACCUUUGAUCCGGAGAUUUCCGAAUGGGGGA
rnacentral:misc_RNA from 1 species